GAGGGUAUAGCUCAGUAUAGAGUGCCUGCUGCUUAGCAUGCAUGAGGUCCUGGGUUCAAUCCCCGGUACCUCCA
rnacentral:tRNA from 1 species